GAUGAAGAACGUAGCGAAAUGCGAUACGUAAUGUCAAUUGCAGAAUUCAGUGAAUCAUCGAGUCUUUGAACGCACAUUGCGCCCCCUGGUAUUCCGGGGGGCAUGCCUGUCCGAGCGUCAUUGCUGCCCUCAAGCACGGCUUGUGUGUUGGGCCUCCGCCCCCCGGCUCCCGGGGGGCGGGCCCGAAAGGCAGCGGCGGCACCGCGUCCGGUCCUCGAGCGUAUGGGGCUUCGUCACCCGCUCCGUAGGCCCGGCCGGCGCCCGCCGGCGACCCCCCUCAAUCUUUCCAGGUUGACCUCGGAUCAGGUAGGGAUACCCGCUGAACUUAAGCAUAUCAAUAAGCGAGGA
rnacentral:misc_RNA from 1 species